rnacentral:rRNA from 1 species
AGUGAACGCUGGCGGUAGGCCUAACACAUGCAAGUCGAACGGCAGCACAGAGGAGCUUGCUCCUUGGGUGGCGAGUGGCGGACGGGUGAGGAAUACAUCGGAAUCUACUCUGUCGUGGGGGGUAACGUAGGGAAACUUACGCUAAUACCGCAUACGACCUACGGGUGAAAGCAGGGGACCUUCGGGCCUUGCGCGAUUGAAUGAGCCGAUGUCGGAUUAGCUAGUUGGCGGGGUAAAGGCCCACCAAGGCGACGAUCCGUAGCUGGUCUGAGAGGAUGGUCAGCCACACUGGAACUGAGACACGGUCCAGACUCCUACGGGAGGCAGCAGUGGGGAAUAUUGGACAAUGGGCGCAAGCCUGAUCCAGCCAUACCGCGUGGGUGAAGAAGGCCUUCGGGUUGUAAAGCCCUUUUGUUGGGAAAGAAAUCCAGCUGGUUAAUACCCGGUUGGGAUGACGGUACCCAAAGAAUAAGCACCGGCUAACUUCGUGCCAGCAGCCGCAGUAA